rnacentral:rRNA from 1 species
GACAGUGUCUGGUGGGUAGUUUGACUGGGGCGGUCUCCUCCUAAAGAGUAACGGAGGAGCACGAAGGUUGGCUAAUCCUGGUCGGACAUCAGGAGGUUAGUGCAAUGGCAUAAGCCAGCUUGACUGCGAGCGUGACGGCGCGAGCAGGUGCGAAAGCAGGUCAUAGUGAUCCGGUGGUUCUGAAUGGAAGGGCCAUCGCUCAACGGAUAAAAGGUACUCCGGGGAUAACAGGCUGAUACCGCCCAAGAGUUCAUAUCGACGGCGGUGUUUGGCACCUCGAUGUCGGCUCAUCACAUCCUGGGGCUGAAGUAGGUCCCAAGGGUAUGGCUGUUCGCCAUUUAAAGUGGUACGCGAGCUGGGUUUAGAACGUCGUGAGACAGUUCGGUCCCUAUCUGCCGUGGGCGCUGGAGAACUGAGGGGGGCUGCUCCUAGUACGAGAGGACCGGAGUGGACGCAUCACUGGUGUUCGGGUUGUCAUGCCAAUGGCACUGCCCGGUAGCUAAAUGCGGAAGAGAUAAGUGCUGAAAGCAUCUAAGCACGAAACUUGCCCCGAGAUGAGUUCUCCCUGAGACUUAGAGUCUCCUGAAGGAACGUUGAAGACGACGACGUUGAUAGGCCGGGUGUGUAAGCGCAGCGAUGCGUUGAGCUAACCGGUACUAAUGAACCGUGAGGCUUAACCUUACAACGCCGAAG